rnacentral:lncRNA from 1 species
CUAGGGAUGCGACACCUGCUCUGGUUGCUGCCUCUGUUCCUGUUGGCAUGGCCAGGUAAGCUUGUGGGUGCCCUGCCCUGUGUCCCCAGGGCUCUGAGGACCCUGGCUGCCAUUCUGAGAGUCUGAUGUACGUGGACAUGCCCCCAGAAUGAUGUGCCCCUCUGCUGCCCAGAGAAGGAGCCAGGGCACAGGGCAGGACUUGCUCAGAGCCUCGGUUUCCUGCCCUAGAGAAUGCAUGGUGCUGUGACUUCUGGUGGGCUCCCAGAACCAGCAGUGGGCUGACUGCCAGGGUGGGCAGGCAGAUGGGGGAGCCAGAAUGAGGUGGAGGGUUUGGGAGGUGGGUGCUUUCCAAAAAGCAGGGUCCAGACCUGUGGGGUCGAUGGCUGUGGGGUGGGAGGCCUGGGUCCCUGAACUGAGGCAUCUCUUCUCCAGUCCAGGGCCUGAAGUGUCACUAGUGCUUGGCAUCAGGAAAUUGCUUCCAGCCCACGUCUUGCAGGGCUGACGCCCGAUACUGCCUGACGACCUGGAACAGUGAGUAUCUGCCUUCCGGGCAGGUGGGGGUCAGGGUGGUGUGGGGUGAGAUGUGGAUCUGACACCUGGAGCCUCCAGCAAAAAGGCAAGCCUGGGAAGUCCCCCAUUUCUAAUCUAGGCACUGAGAUUGGCCGGCAAUUGUUCAGGUAAACACUGUGAUUGUCUCUACCCUGCAAAAUGGGCACAACGCUGCUGCUUUCUUCCAAGUGGAAGAGCAGACAGGAUAUUCUGUCCACUCCACAUGCUGCACGGGAAACACAACAAUUCAGACUGUUCCCAAGGGUACCAGCUACUCAGAAAGGAAGAGUGGGGAAGUAGAGUAGCAGGUAGAAGCCCUAGUGGUGGUCACAUGCUGGGCCCUGACCCUGGUCACCUCCUGCCAUGCUUCCCUGUGGGGUGGGAGAGCAAGGAGGAAGCAUCAGGCAGGCUGUCGGGAGGCCUGAGUGUUUUGAGAGGGGCAGGAGCGGAUUCCACAGGUCUCAAUAAACAACUCUCUAUCUUGCCUCUUCCAGGUCCCCCAGGACAGAAAACGCUUGUUAUAAAGUCAUGUGCUUACACCUGCCCUGGCUUCCAAGAGAGCCUGAGUUACUCCAGAGCUUCCUGCUGCAACACAGACCUCUGCAACAGCACCGUGAGCCCCAGUGCCAGCUGGGGGUUGCUGGCCCUGAGUGUCUUGGGUGCCUACCUCAUCAGGUAAUGGUGGAGCUCAGUCCAAGGCACACCCAAGAGUACAGGACUAGGAGUCUGGAGCCAGGUUCCACUGGUGGCUGACAUGCUUUUUGGCCUUGGUGUGGCACUUCUGCACUUCCAACCAGAAGGACUCCAGGAGAGAAUGAACACAUAAGUGGCCUUUAAAGGACACUAGACACACCACUCAAGGUCAUUUCUGCUGUCCAGGUUGCUGCAUUCUGAUCACCAGCCUGAGAGCUGGCCAUCUCCCAGCCUCCAGGGGCCAUGCAGUUACAUGGUCCUGGUUAAGCCAGGCUGAAGCAGGAGCCUCUGGAAGUCCAAGCCGUUGUUCCUUUCCUGGUGUUUCAGGGCUCAAACUCCUAGCAACCUCAGAGAACCUGGGCUCUGUGCCACCACCUCAAGUGAGAAGGAUCCUUGGCGGACACUAGUGCUACAUUGCCAGCACUCAAGCUUGCUGCUGUGAGGCAGGCCAGGGACCAUGGAGAAAUGCCAAGCCUUCCACUGGCUGGGGCAGGGGCAAUUGGCCAUGUGGGGACAGAGGCACCCCUGAGCAUCACAUGGGGUGGUGUUGGUGGCAGCAGGGACAGCACAGAUAGCACAUGCAGCCCCCGGCGUCACCUUCUGUCUAGGGCUGGGCCUGCCCACCCACAUCAGAAUCUCAGCUGCGAGAACUCCUGUGCAUGCUGGAUCCAAGAGCACAGGGAUAAGAAGAGCAAGGGCCAGGCCUCACCCAGCUGUGAAGCUACUUCAGAGCCAAGCCUGAGGCCACCUCCCCUCUCUGCCUACAGCUUGGAUGAUGCCUGGGUCAGCUGGUCAACCCUCAGGAAUCAUACAUUUUUUAUUCAAGAGUGACUACCUCCAAAAAGAACAUAUAGCAGGUUCUUUCCUCAGAGACCUGAAAGCUCAGACAGCACCUGCCCUGCUCUUCCUAGUGGGGCCUCGACAGGCACUGGCCAGCAGAGCAGGCUAUGGAAGGGAAUUGUGGAGAGCCCACCAGCCUGCCCUGAGGUCCCUGGCUUCUCACCUGACUCUCCUCACCACCUACCUCACUUCUUUCUCCUCUUGGGGAGGGAAGGUGCACAGGCUCCUCACUUGCUACAACCCUCGGGCAAGGCUGGGGUCUCCUCUGACCCUAAACACUUACCAGGACCUCCUUCCUAACAAAGUUGGGACUCUUCUGCAAUUGGGCCCCUCAUUCUAGCCAUCAAGGGGACACAGCCUGAGAAGACUGGUGUCACCAACCUCCUCAGCAGCCCUGGUAUCACAACCUCACCCAAGUACCAGGCCUCAAGAUCCCCUUUGACCCAUCAUCCCAGAGGUGGGACAUCUAUAAAAACUUAAACAAGAAAUAUAAUAUUUA